CGCUAUCAAAACAACAGGAGUGAGAAAUAUGGCGGAUUUUGUAAAGCCGAUUCACCGCCAUAAAGCUUCAGUUUUGGAAGGACACGGUCUUCUUUUUGUUCAUUGUGGAUCGUCAGAGCCUAUGCGGUUGCUGUUGGUUCCUAUGGGUUAUCGUGUGUUCAGUUUCAAUGCCGCGAGAUUCACAUCAGAAGAAUCGCUAUAUUUGUCUCUAAAAGUUGAUGAAAUCUUCGCCUAUUGCAAUAGCGUUGGUUCCUAUGGGUUAUCGUGUGUUCAGUUUCAAUGCCGCGAGAUUCACAUCAGAAGAAUCGCUAUAUUUGUCUCUAAAAGUUGAUGAAAUCUUCGCCGAUUGCAAUAGCCCAGCAUUGAUAGAGUAUAGAGAUACAUUCCAGUUGUGUUUUUAGGGUAAGUCGUUUGUUUUAAUCCUUAAAGCCAAUACAAAGGCAAUGUAUCUACGCAAUGCUUCUUGCUUUUUCUAUGAUUCACAUUUUUAUAGCCAAUAUUGGUAAAAAUAUUUGUGCUUUCUAUUUUGAAUAUAGAUAGAUAGAUAUUUAUUAAUAUAUGAAUAUGAAUAUAUGCAUAUAGAGCUAAAAAAUAGUUUAAGUUAGAGAAGCCAACACUGUUCAUUUGGUUUGAUCAUAGAGGUUUGAUUACUUUGGUAUUUUAUACGUACCAUUAAAGUAAUUAACCCAUUGAAUUGCAUCGAGUUGCAUUAAUUGCACCCUACUUUAUUAUUUUACUCUAACACCAGAUUAUUUUACUCUUUCUAAUGGCAGCUGGCCUAUCUGCCCAUGUGCCUAGUUAACCCAUUGAGUCACAUUGUGCCCUCAUGCGCCCUACUUUAAUAUUUUACUCUGUCUAACGUUGUUAAACAGAAGAUUGUUUUUAUAUAUUGCAGUUCUCUGACCUCAGUGAUCUAAGACGAGAUGGAACAGGACAAUCUUUUAUCUUUGGGAAUGUUAUUUUGUGGGAUUUCUAGAUUUUGUGGCACUUAAAGGGUUAAACAGAAGAUUGUUUUUAUAUAUUGCAGUUCUCUGACCUCAGUGAUCUAAGACGAGAUGGAACAGGACAAUCUUUUAUCUUUGGGAAUGUUAUUUUGUGGGAUUUCUAGAUUCUGGCAUUGCCACCUUCUCAAACAAUUCAACCUCAAGGUCCAGAUACUGUUAAUGAAGAUUUGGACAGUGUGCUGUCACUAAUAAAUUUACAAGGGCAAACUGGAUAUAACUGUGAUCUACAACCAAUAAAUUCAGUGUGCUUGGUGGGUACUAUUACUCUACAGUGCAGCAUUGCUUAUUGCAAAAAGUGGACCAUGGGACAGAGAUGAUCCAAGAAACAAUUAUAACAGUGACAUAGAUUACUAGAAUAUUGUAAAUUGAUGUUUGUGAUGUUAUUCUGAGUGUGCAUCCACACCGGGCAAGCUGAAAAGUUUGCCUGACCAUGGUGGGAAUCGAACUUGCCAUCUUUGGGAUAUUAGUCCAAUUAUGCUCUACCAACUGAGCUCAGCUCGGUGUGGAUGCAUACUCAGAGUAACAUCACAAACAUAUUCACCUGAGUAAAUAACACCAACACACACAAGAAGUAUAUUGUAAAUUGUUGUUAUUUUAUUAUGGAUUCCUACAUAUUUAUUUUAUUAUGGAUCCCUACAAUUGGGUCAUUCCAGAAAACAUCCAUACCGCCCCCACAGAGGAAAUAGGAAGUUAACCCCCCUACCCCCUUCGGAUGUCCUAAUACAUUUACUAUUAUCAGAAACAAUUUUUUCUCCCCUUCCCCUCCGGACGGCAGAAAUUUCCUCUGUGGGGGGAGUAUGGAUCUUUUCUGGAACGACCCAUUAUAACAGUGACAUAGAUUACUAGGCUAAUGCGGUAAAUUGUUGUUAUUUUAUUUUGUUAUGGACAAAAUUUCUCCAGAUCCAUGGAUCUUUUUUGGCAAUAGAUAUCAACUUGAUCAAAGCUUUAUUUUCUUCAAAGGUCCAUUUAUGUUUUUUUCACUGGUAACUUCUCUGACAGAGUCAGCCUGAUCUUUCUGCUAGGAAACUACAAAAAAGUAUGUCAUUUACUAAAAUGGAAAUUGGGGUGCAGAUGACAUAUGAAUAAACAGACAUACAUGAAUAAUGUUACACUGCAGAAUAAUGUUACACAGAGGUAUUAAGGUGGAGUAAUACAGACAAAAAAAUAGCUGCAAUUUGCAACAAAAUCUGAUUUCAACAGAUGUUAAUACAUGAAUAAUGUUACACUGCAGAAUAAUGUUACACAGAGGUAUUAAGGUGGAGUAAUACAGACAACAAAAUAGCUGCAAUUUGCAACAAAAUCUGAUUUCAACAGAUGUUAAGUGGAGAUGUUGACACAUAACUUAAUACAAGUCAUAGAAAUGUUGACAGAUGUUGCCUCGUACAUGCGUUGAAAUCAGAUUUUGUUGCAAGUUGCAGCAAUUUUGUUGCUCGUAUUUACUCCAGCUUUACACUGAAUAUACAAAGACAAUUUAUAAGAAUAAAAUAGCAAAGAAUAACAGUACAUUUAUAAGUACAAUUUCGUCUACCAUAUUUUUUUUAUUAUACCUUUGCUGAUGUGCCAAGACUUUGAAACAAAGCUCGAUUGAAUGGAGUGAAUGAUGAACUCUCCACACGAGAUAUUUUCCUGGCGUAUCAGUAUUAAAUUUGAGUUUCCUCAUUUUCUAAAUCAUGAUCAACAAUGACAACAUCGCCAUCAUUAAUAGUUCCAUUUUUUCUCCAAUAAACUCGAAUAAGUCGAAUUCUAUAAAAACAAAUGAUACAAUCAGGAACAAUACGUUUAUAGAAAAGCUGGCUUGUUUACGUUGCAUUCGCGCCAUAUUUCCUGUAGAAUUCCUCUUUUCCCGCGAUUGGUGACAACAAAAGUAAAAAUACCCCAUUUUCAAACAACGAUUACUCGUCUGUUUCAGGGGGUUAUUUAUGUUUUAAGGUACCAAUAGAAAGAGUAACCCUUACUGAAUACAAUGAUGUGAAUUUUAUUGAAUUUCCCGAUUUAUAAACCUAAUAACCCCCUGCAUAUAUCAAAGCCGUUUUCGUGUCAUGGCACUAUACCGGGAAUAUACCCCAUUUUCAAACCGCGAUAACUCGUCGGUUGGAGGGGAUUAUUAAUGUUUUAAAGUAUCAGCUAGAACCGUGACCCUCCCCGAAUUCAAUGAUGUGAAUUUUGCUGAAUUUCCCGAUUUAUAAACUAUUUAACCCCCGGCGUAUAUCAAUGCCAUUUCUUUUAUAGCCCCGAAAUAUACCCCAUUUUCAAACCGCGAUAACUCGUCAGUUCGAGGGGGUUAUUUGUGUUUUGAAGUAUCAAUAGAAAGAAUAACCCUUUCUGAAUUCGAUGCUGUAAAUUUUGUUGAAUUUCCUGAUUUAAAAAGUAUUUAACCCCCGGCGAGUAUCGGAGGCAUUUUUGUAACAUGUGCACUGACCCGAAACCAAGGGUAAUUCAAUGCGUGAUUAACAUCACUGAAGCAUGAUACGACAACCACAUAAAACAAAAAUUGUGCAAUUAAGGUCACAAAUAAAACAAUUAUAAAAACGUACCUUCCAAAAAUCAAAAUUUUCAGAGUGAAAAUUCGCGAUAGAAAACCACAAUUUUUCGACAAACAUCUCUCAAAG
rnacentral:lncRNA from 1 species